rnacentral:ncRNA from 1 species
CUCUUGGGGUGUUCCUUAUUUGGAACUGAGAUUAACCCAUUGAACCUGAACCAGAUAAUACUGGCGGAGGAAAGAGAUGAAAG